AUUGAACGCUGGCGGCAUGCUUUACACAUGCAAGUCGAACGGCAGCGCGGGCUUCGGCCUGGCGGCGAGUGGCGAACGGGUGAGUAAUGCAUCUGAACGUGCCCAGGAGUGGGGGAUAGCCCGGCGAAAGCCGGAUUAAUACCGCAUACGACCUGAUGGUGAAAGCGGGGGACCGAAAGGCCUCGCGCUAUUGGAGCGGCCGAUGUCGGAUUAGCUAGUUGGUGGGGUAAAGGCUUACCAAGGCGACGAUCCGUAGCUGGUCUGAGAGGACGACCAGCCACACUGGGACUGAGACACGGACCAGACUCCUACGGGAGGCAGCAGUGGGGAAUUUUGGACAAUGGGGGCAACCCUGAUCCAGCCAUGCCGCGUGCGGGAAGAAGGCCUUCGGGUUGUAAACCGCUUUUGUUCGGGAAGAAAUCCUCUGGGCUAAUACCCCGGGGGGAUGACGGUACCGGAAGAAUAAGCACCGGCUAACUACGUG
rnacentral:rRNA from 1 species